AUUCUUGUCUUAGAUUUUUCUAGAUACGGAUGUAUCAAGUCACAUUUUAGUAUUAGAUACAUUCGUAUCUAGAGAAAUCUAAGACAAGAAAUUUGGGACAAAGGGAGUAGUUG
rnacentral:pre_miRNA from 1 species